rnacentral:rRNA from 1 species
UACGUAGGGCGCAAGCGUUAUCCGGAAUUAUUGGGCGUAAAGAGCUCGUAGGCGGUUUGUCGCGUCUGCCGUGAAAGUCCGGGGGCUCAACUCCGGAUCUGCGGUGGGUACGGGCAGACUAGAGUGAUGUAGGGGAGACUGGAAUUCCUGGUGUAGCGGUGAAAUGCGCAGAUAUCAGGAGGAACACCGAUGGCGAAGGCGGGUCUCUGGGUAGUAACUGACGCUGAGGAACGAAAGCGUGGGUAGCGAACAGG